UACAUUCUAAGCGGGCUUUAUGGUUCGGAUUGGGAAAAGAGACUUGAGUUGAAGGAGCUACAGGCAAAUUUUGUCCAUUUAAGUCUUCUUAGCAGGUACUACAAACGUGCGUAUCAAGAGUUCUUUAAGUGCAAUUCAGGGAGUGUUCAGCAUCCUGCAGUCUCCUCUAGUACAGGUUAUGUUUUUGAUUACCAUAGAUUUGGAUGGUUACCCUCUAGUACAGGUUAUGUUUCUGAUUACCAUAGAUUUGGAUGGUUACUGUUCUUAGCUCUGCGGCUUCAUGCAUUCGGUCGUUUCAAAUAUUUGGUUACGUGCACCAAUGGAUUAGUGUCAAUAUUGGUAGUUAGUGGUUUCUCUUGCUAGAAGUUGGUUUCUUUCUCCGGUCGGAAAAGCUUUCCAUCAGUGCGGUUGCAGCGCCUCCAGAUUUGGUGUGCUGUUGCCAUAACACCAGAGGUGACUUCAAGGGUGACUUCAAGGGCUGUUUGUAGGAAGAUUAUUUGUGAGCUUGUAAACAUUUACAAGGACUACCACACAUGAAAGCUUAUGGAUAUGUAUUGCGGCCCUGAUAGAGUGACUGCAAAGAAACAAAUGCAGGAGUUAGACAGAGUCGCAAAAACUCUACCAGAAAAUAUACUUCAUUUGUGAAGAGGUUCACUGAUCAUGCCGUUCUUUCACUUCAAGUUUUUUUUUCCAACUUAGUUUAGUUUCUUGUAAAUCUUAUAAUGUGUCAUUCUCUGUAAUGGAAAACACUGAAUAUGGCAAACUGGAAUAUUUAAACAGGCCUUUGAGUGUUGACUUGGAAAUGGAAAUGAAUGUAAUUAUUUUGUAAUGGGAGCAAAUUCUUUGUUUAUCAUAAUAUGCAACUUGUUUGGAGUAUAA